CUCAUCACAACAAAACCAGAUCUGUGUCCAGCAGUCCUGAUCCACCAGAGUAUUCGUACUCUGGCUGUGUUUCGGUUGUCAUUGCUGGACAUCUCGACGAUACAUGGAGCCAUCACGGAGUUUUUCUUUUUCUCUUCUCAUGGUGUCAAUUUCCGGUCGACAGAUCUCAGAGGGAAUCUCAGCAGCCCGGUUUUCUUUUAGUUUCAUUAAUAAUAGAUUAACAUUCUACCUUGAGCUCCCUUCUUCUUUGCGGGUUGGUGAGCUCGGUGAGAUGGCCGGGUGUCUGUUGUGGGCGUCAUAUUCCACCUCCCUUUACCGAUUAUGGCCGUCGGCUGAUGAGGUUAGGGAAAAACCAUGACUUGCCAACAUCA
rnacentral:sRNA from 1 species